rnacentral:snRNA from 1 species
GUAAUAAAAUGUAGUCUGCACAAUCACCAAGGUGAUUUUCCCAGGGCAAGGCUUAUCCGUUGCACUGUGAAUGUGCUAGCCCUACAAUUCCCCCAAAUAUUGGAAACUCAACUGCAUAACCUGUGCUAGUAGGGUCUUCAUGCUCCCCAC